rnacentral:lncRNA from 1 species
CCAUGCUGGCCAUCAGCGAACUCGGUGUCAGGGCGGCCGCACCACCAGCCUCACUACCUCCAACCUGACCUUUUGCUGCAGACAGUGCUGCUGCUGAAGGAACUUGCUGGGACGGAAACAUGGCAGAGCUGUUGGCGGAUGGGAGCGUGAGGAGCACUGCACGGGUCGCUGUCGUGGGUGAGGAGCCUGGAUUCGCACCCCUCCCGAGGCAGGCGGUCUGGAGAGUCCCAGCAAUCCUGUUCACACGCCUCCUGCACCCGAUGCCAGGGACUUGGCCGUAG